rnacentral:tRNA from 1 species
GGUGGGAUGGGUGAGUGGCUUAAACCAGUAGUUUGCUAAACUGCCGUACCUCUCAAGGGUACCCCGGGUUCGAAUCCCGGUCCCACCGCCA